rnacentral:pre_miRNA from 1 species
AGAGAGAGGCUGGAGCUCCUUUUCGAGUCCAAUAUGGAGGGCUGAUCGCGGCAAGAGCUGCCAUCUCAUGCACUAAGGCAAGACUUCACAUAUGAGAAAGGAAAAUGUGAAGUUUGGCCAAGUGCAUGGUGUGGGAGCAACUCCUUCCGGGCUCUCGCCCACCUAUUGGACUGAAGGGAGCUCCCUUCGACUCUACU